rfam:Capsicum annuum cultivar Zunla-1 chromosome 7, whole genome shotgun sequence
AGGUCUUUAGCUCAGUGGUAGAGCAUUUAACUAUAGAACAAGAGGUCACCAGUUCGAACCUGGUAGGACCCU